GGCGCAGCUACCAUGCAAGUUCGAGCGGGCAUAGCAAUAUGUCAGCGGCAGACGGGUGAGUAACGCGUGGGAACGUACCUUUUGGUUCGGAACAACACAGGGAAACUUGUGCUAAUACCGGAUAAGCCCUUACGGGGAAAGAUUUAUCGCCGAAAGAUCGGCCCGCGUCUGAUUAGCUAGUUGGUGAGGUAAUGGCUCACCAAGGCGACGAUCAGUAGCUGGUCUGAGAGGAUGAUCAGCCACAUUGGGACUGAGACACGGCCCAAACUCCUACGGGAGGCAGCAGUGGGGAAUAUUGGACAAUGGGCGCAAGCCUGAUCCAGCCAUGCCGCGUGAGUGAUGAAGGCCCUAGGGUUGUAAAGCUCUUUUGUGCGGGAAGAUAAUGACGGUACCGCAAGAAUAAGCCCCGGCUAACUUCGUGCCAGCAGCCGCGGUAAUACGAAGGGGGCUAGCGUUGCUCGGAAUCACUGGGCGUAAAGGGUGCGUAGGCGGGUCUUUAAGUCAGGGGUGAAAUCCUGGAGCUCAACUCCAGAACUGCCUUUGAUACUGAAGAUCUUGAGUUCGGGAGAGGUGAGUGGAACUGCGAGUGUAGAGGUGAAAUUCGUAGAUAUUCGCAAGAACACCAGUGGCGAAGGCGGCUCACUGGCCCGAUACUGACGCUGAGGCACGAAAGCGUGGGGAGCAAACAGGAUUAGAUACCCUGGUAGUCCACGCCGUAAACGAUGAAUGCCAGCCGUUAGUGGGUUUACUCACUAGUGGCGCAGCUAACGCUUUAAGCAUUCCGCCUGGGGAGUACGGUCGCAAGAUUAAAACUCAAAGGAAUUGACGGGGGGCCCCGCACAAGCGGUGGGAGCAUGUGGUUUAAUUUCGACGCAACGCGCAAAACCUUACCAGCCUUUGACAUCCCCGGUUCGCCGGACUCCAGAAACCGAAUUUCUUCCAUUUCGGCUGGGACCGGAAAACAGGUGCUGCAAGGGCUUGUCCUCACCUCCUGGUCGUGGAAAAUUUGGGUUUAAGUCCCCGCAACGAGGGCAACCCCCGUCC
rnacentral:rRNA from 1 species